CUACGGGGGGCUCCAGUGAGGAAUAUUGCACAAUGGGGGGAACCCUGAUGCAGCAACGCCGCGUGGAGGAUGACGCAUUUCGGUGUGUAAACUCCUUUUAUAUGUCAAGAAAAUGACGGUAGCAUAUGAAUAAGCACCGGCUAACUCCGUGCCAGCAGCCGCGGUAAUACGGAGGGUGCAAGCGUUACUCGGAAUCACUGGGCGUAAAGGACGCGUAGGCGGGUUGGAAAGUCAGGUGUGAAAUCCUACAGCUUAACUGUAGAACUGCACUUGAAACUUCUAAUCUAGAGUAUGGGAGGGGGAGAUGGAAUUAGCGGUGUAGGGGUAAAAUCCGUAGAUAUCACUAGGAAUACCUAAAGCGAAGGCGAUCUCCUGGAACAUUACUGACGCUAGGGCGUGAAAGCGUGGGGAGCAAACAGGAUUAGAUACCCGCGUAGUC
rnacentral:rRNA from 1 species